CAGCAGCCACGGUAAUACGAAGGGGGCUAGCGUUGUUCGGAUUUACUGGGCGUAAAGGGCGCGUAGGCGGACUGAUAAGUCAGGGGUGAAAUCCCAAGGCUCAACCUUGGAACUGCCUUUGAUACUGUUUGUCUUGAGUUCGAGAGAGGUAAGUGGAACUGCGAGUGUAGAGGUGAAAUUCGUAGAUAUUCGCAAGAACACCAGUGGCGAAGGCGGCUUACUGGCUCGAAACUGACGCUGAGGCGCGAAAGCGUGGGGAGCAAACAGGAUUAGAUACCCCAGUAGUCCCUGUCUCUUAUAC
rnacentral:rRNA from 1 species